rnacentral:rRNA from 1 species
CGGACGGGUGAGUAAUGUCUGGGAAACUGCCUGAUGGAGGGGGAUAACUACUGGAAACGGUAGCUAAUACCGCAUAACGUCGCAAGACCAAAGAGGGGGACCUUCGGGCCUCGCGCCAUCAGAUGAACCCAUAUGGGAUUAGCUUGUAGGUAAGGUAACGGCUUACCUAGGCGACGAUCCCUAGCUGGUCUGAGAGGAUGAUCAGCCACACUGGGACUGAGACACGGCCCAG